GCCUAACACAUGCAAGUCGAGGGGUAACAGGGGCUUCGGCCCGCUGACGACCGGCGCACGGGUGAGUAACGCGUAUGCAACCUGCCUGUAACAGCGGGAUAGCUCCCUGAAAGGGGAAUUAACACCGCAUAAGACCACGCUCUCGCAUGGGGACGGGGUAAAAUAUUUAUAGGUUACAGAUGGGCAUGCGUGACAUUAGUUAGUUGGUGAGGUAACGGCUCACCAAGACUGCGAUGUCUAGGGGUUUUGAGAGGAAGGCCCCCCACACUGGGACUGAGACACGGCCCAGACUCCUACGGGAGGCAGCAGUGAGGAAUAUUGGACAAUGGAUGGAAAUCUGAUCCAGCCAUGCCGCGUGCAGGAAGACGGCCUUAUGGGUUGUAAACUGCUUUUAUACGGGAGCAAUAAGGGUUACGAGUAAUCCGAUGAGAGUACUGUAUGAAUAAGGAUCGGCUAACUCCGUGCCAGCAGCCGCGGUAAUACGGAGGAUCCGAGCGUUAUCCGGAAUUAUUGGGUUUAAAGGGUGCGUAGGCGGCCAUUUAAGUCAGCGGUGAAAUUUUGCAGCUUAACUGUAACAGUGCCGUUGAUACUGUUUGGCUAGGAUUUGGUUGUAGUGUGCGGAAUGUGUGGUGUAGCGGUGAAAUGCUUAGAUAUCACACAGAACACCGAUUGCGAAGGCAGCACACUAAGUCAUUAUUGACGCUGAGGCACGAAAGUGUGGGGAUCAAACAGGAUUAGAUACCCUGGUAGUCCACACUGUAAACGAUGAUAACUCGCUGUCGGCGAUACACAGUCGGUGGCCAAGCGAAAGCAUUAAGUUAUCCACCUGGGGAGUACGACCGCAAGGUUGAAACUCAAAGGAAUUGACGGGGGCCCGCACAAGCGGAGGAACAUGUGGUUUAAUUCGAUGAUACGCGAGGAACCUUACCCGGGCUCGAACGGUGCAUGAAUAUACGAGAGAUUGUAUAGUCCUUCGGGACAUGUAUCGAGGUGCUGCAUGGUUGUCGUCAGCUCGUGCCGUGAGGUGUCGGCUUAAGUGCCAUAACGAGCGCAACCCUUGUCAUUAGUUGCCUUCAGGUCAAGCUGGGGACUUUAAUGAGACUGCCACCGUAAGGUGUGAGGAAGGGGGGGAUGACGUCAAAUCAGCACGGCCCUUAUGUCCGGGGCGACACACGUGUUACAAUGGGAGGUACAGAGGGCAGCUAUCCGGUGACGGAAUGCUAAUCUCCAAAACCUUUCUCAGUUCGGAUUGGAGUCUGCAACUCGACUCCAUGAAGGUGGAUUCGCUAGUAAUCGCGCAUCAGCCAUGGCGCGGUGAAUACGUUCCCGGGCCUUGUACUCACCGCCCGUCA
rnacentral:rRNA from 1 species